rnacentral:rRNA from 1 species
UACGAAGGGGGCUAGCGUUGUUCGGAAUCACUGGGCGUAAAGCGCACGUAGGCGGAUCUUUAAGUCAGAGGUGAAAUCCCAAGGCUCAACCUUGGAACUGCCUUUGAUACUGGGGAUCUUGAGUCCGGGAGAGGUGAGUGGAACUGCGAGUGUGGAGGUGAAAUUCGUAGAUAUUCGCAAGAACACCAGUGGCGAAGGCGGCUCACUGGCCCGGUACUGACGCUGAGGUGCGAAAGCGUGGGGAGCAAACAGG